rnacentral:misc_RNA from 1 species
UUAAGUCGUACAAGGUAACCGUACCGGAAGGUGCGGCUGGAUCACCUCCUUUCUAAGGAGCACCACGAGAGACACCUUCCGUUGGGGAGGGUGUGAGCCGUGAGGAACCCUUUUGCCUGUAGUGGGCGGGGUUUGGUGCAACAGCAAACGUUGAGAUGCGGUGUGGGAAACGCUGUGUCGAGGAAACUGCCGGACACACUAUUGGGCUUUGAGACAACAGGCCCGUGCCCUUUUUGGGGGUGGCUCCGUGGUGACGGGGUCGGCGUGUUGUUGCCCUGCUUUGGUGGUGGGGUGUGGUGUUUGAUUUGUGGAUAGUGGUUGCGAGCAUCUAGCGCGCAGAGUGUGGCUGCCGGCUUUCGGGUUGGUGGUUCAUUGUUGCGGGCGAUUGAUGUGCAAUUUUUCUUCUGAUUAUUGGUUUUUUGUGUUGUAAGUGUUUAAGGGCGCAUGGUGGAUGCUUUG